rnacentral:sRNA from 1 species
CUUGAGCCGAGAGCCAACAGCUUUCUCUCAGUAUUAUUUGAAAGUGACCCCCUCGCUCUUUAUUUCAAAACCACCCUGGCUUUAUCUCUCUAAAGAAAAUACUCUGCAUUUAUCUACAAAUGAACCCUAGCCACUCCUCCAUUCUCAUUUCAACAUCAAUGUGGUCCUGUGCUCUCUCAAAAGAGGAAAGCCAUCCCCAUAACCCUCUCAACCGCACACAACCUAACCUUCAUCCUUGAGCCUCUUCGCCAUUUCCUCCAUUGCUCUCUGUUCGUUCAAGGGCGUCAUCAUCCUCUCGGGAACAACACCCCAAAAGUCACAAUUCCAUGGCUAAACAUUAUGGAUGCCACCAUUCUGUAGAUUCGUCGCCUGAAAAGUAGAAACAGAAACAAAUCGUGUCAAACACACAGAUCCGAGCAUAAGGAAGGUGGCUUGGAACGAGUGGAAAUCCGAGACGAAGAAUGCUCAAGUUGCAGAUCGAGCGAGUCAAAAAGGAAAGAAUACCCGUCAAGCUCUUGUAACUACAACAAGAAAAUACCCUAGAUCGGCAAAAGCAGCUUGAGGAGAAAACUCUACACUGAAGAAUAGCUGCGUGGCAGCUUGGCAAAACAGAAAGGUAUACUUCCCAUCCAUGUUAUGUUCUGGUUGCUUUACUCAAUACUGAUGCGAAUGGCGUCUGCCAGUUUGUCAAUUGCAAUUUCCCAAGAAGCUUUGGCUAGUGCAGCAGGUUGCUGGAUUGGUGGUAGGAAUGGUGGUUUAACUUGCUGCUCACCACCCCAUUUUAAAUUUAGGUGAUCUCUCCAACCCGGAUUAUAAAAAUUUGAAUAAACAUCAUUUCUUUGCCUUGGAUAAUUGUUGAAUGCAUUAACUUGUUCUGCAACAAAAUCUGGAUAUGCAUCUCUCUGUGGACAGCCCAUAAAAUCAUGUGUGGGUUGGCUACAAAUUGCACAAGCUGUUGCAGGUUGCUGAAUAGUAACUUGCUGAACUGGAGCUGCCAUUUCUGCAAGAUCAUGUCAAAUUUGCAUCAAAAUUUUCUAUCUUUCUCUCAAUCUUUUCAAUUUGAGCAUAUACAUGUGGAGACCCCAUGGACAUUUCAAAAACGCCCCUAUUUUGUGUUUCAUCCCCUGCCCAUUAUUGAGAUUCAGAUGCCAUGUUGUCAAAUAAUUGAUAGGCUUCCUGUGCAUUUUUAGUUGAAUAUGAACCUCCUGAUGAAGCAUGAACAUGAUUUUUAGUGUUUGAAUUUAAUCCUCUGAAAA